GAUGAACGCUGGCGGCGUGCCUAAUACAUGCAAGUCGAGCGAACAGACGAGGAGCCUGCUCCUCUGACGUUAGCGGCGGACGGGUGAGUAACACGUGGAUAACCUACCUAUAAGACUGGGAUAACUUCGGGAAACCGGAGCUAAUACCGGAUAAUAUAUUGAACCGCAUGGUUCAAUAGUGAAAGACGGUUUUGCUGUCACUUAUAGAUGGAUCCGCGCCGCAUUAGCUAGUUGGUAAGGUAACGGCUUACCAAGGCAACGAUGCGUAGCCGACCUGAGGGGGGGAUCGGCCACACUGGAACUGAGACACGGUCCAGACUCCUACGGGAGGCAGCAGUAGGGAAGCUUCCGCAAUGGGCGAAAGCUUGACGGAGCAACGCCGCGUGAGUGAUGAAGGGCUUCGGAUCGUAAAACUCUGUUAUUAGGGAAGAACAAAUGUGUAAGUAACUAUGCACGUCUUGACGGUACCUAAUCAGAAAGCCACGGCUAACUACGU
rnacentral:rRNA from 1 species